UGUGUAUAAGAGAAAACGUGACAAGUAAACAGCCUACAGACGGGGAAGUGGAGGUGACUUCUAUUACUACAGCUAUUACAUGCAGGCAAGAGGACUAGUAUCCAACUACCAAGUCCACAGGUUGUGGUGGGCAGCUUAUCUUGGUGGGAGUCCUGCCAGGAGCUUGGAGUUCUGCUGGGAGCUCAGUAGCAACCAGAAGAGGAACAAGCACGCUGAAGCAGCACCUUAUCUCAACUAGUGCAAGAAGAUUUGGAAAAGGCUUAAAGAGUAAACAGAAGUGGUCAUCAGGCAUUGCUUUGUUCCCUCAAAUACACAAAAGUCAGAAGAUGCUUCUGCAUGUGCCCAGAAAUCUUUGAUGGUGCUUCCAAUCAGCCUCUGGAAGAGGUUUGUGAGCAAGUUCUGCUGCAAAUGCCAGUCAAGGAAAACACAAGAUGGGCAAAGGACUUUCAUGGAAAAUCAUGUUGCCUGAAGCUCUUUCUACAGAGUCCAAACUAUUCUGUAAAGGCCUUGGAACUAAUCAAGCCAUGCCGAAAUAAAGGUUUGCAAUCCCAUAUCACAUUGCUGCUGGAAAACAAAAUUUCUGUUGCUUUUUGUAAUGAUCACUGAAAAUCCAUUGGUCACUUUCUUAAAUAAAGCAAUACUUCUGAAACUUA